UNGAGGUAUUUCAGGCCUGGGAUGAGAGGC
rnacentral:piRNA from 1 species